AUGAACGCUAGCGGAGGCUUAACACAUGCAAGUCGAGGGGUAACAGGGGUAGCAAUACCUGCUGACGACCGGCGUACGGGUGAGUAACGCGUAUGCAACCUGCCCUAUACAGGAGGAUAGCCCGGAGAAAUUCGGAUUAAUACUCCAUGUAGCAUUUUUUUCGCAUGAAUUAGAUGUUAAAGAUUUAUCGGUAUAGGAUGGGCAUGCGUCCCAUUAGCUAGUUGGUGAGGUAACGGCUCACCAAGGCAUCGAUGGGUAUGGGGUCUUAAAGGAUGGUCCCACACACUGGCACUGAGACACGGGCCAGACUCCUACGGGAGGCAGCAGUGAGGAAUAUUGGUCAAUGGGUGCGAGCCUGAACCAGCCAUCCCGCGUGCAGGAUGACGGUCCUAGUGAUUGUAAACUGCUUUUCUAUGAGAUGAAUAAGAAUUACGUGUAGUUCGAUGACCGUAUUAUAGGAAUAAGCAUCGGCUAACUCCGUG
rnacentral:rRNA from 1 species